ensembl:rRNA 5S_rRNA 5S ribosomal RNA
GUCUACGGCCAUGCUACCCUGAACAAGCUUGAUCCUGUCUGAUCUCGGAAGCUAAGCAGGGUUGGGCCUGGUUAGUACUUCUAUGGGAGACCAGAUAGGAAGACCAGGUGCUGUAGGCA